UUGUUUACAUUAUGUAAUAUAUUGUGUUCAGUACACGUCACUACAAUGUGAUUUUGGAAAUGUAUAAAUAUACGAACAACAGGCUCUUCCGCGGAAAUCUCUUGUCGUCAAUAAGCAACGAUUAGGGAUCAGUAUAGUAUUCAAUAGGAGGACCCUGCACGUCGAUAAGUGAAGCAGAGGGAGCCUGACCAUGCGUCACACAUUUGACGAGUUGGGAGUGAGAACGUGUUGGCUGAUCACACUAACCUUAACAUCACAGACCAUCCUUUGGUUCUUCUUCUGUUCCUCUGAAACUUCCUGUGUGGUGCCUUUCAAAUUAAAAGCCCUCCCUGACUGUAAAGACUGGACUGUGCUGCAGCUGGUGGAAACAGUGUGUAGGUCUACAAAGAGUCGCACUUCCUGCUGUGGUUCAGAUGUUCAGCGUGUUGCUUUGUUUCUCACAUGUUGGCUCCACGGUCUCUGCUGCUGUGGGCUGAUGUCAUGCAGCAAUACAGCUGCUGAACAUCUGGCCUUGUUUUGCUCCAUCAGCAGAUAUUUGACUUUUAGAUCACAUGAUAUUUGCAUGCAACCUUCAAACACGUGUGGAGAAUUCAUUAUUUCUUUGAGAGAUUUUUUAGUAAAUAACAGAAAAAAGAAAGUAAGAGAAAAGCAAAACUUUAAUUCUAUAAAAGAGUAAAAAUUC